CUUUAGCCUCCCUCAUCGCCCGAUUCCUCUCCCUCUCCCUCUCCCUCGUCUGUAGCCGCCGCCACCAUCUGCGGCCUCCCCUGCAGCUGGCGCCCCCACCCCUUCUCUCCUUCCCUCACCAUCUCCCCACCACCGACAAGCUCCUCCCCUCUUCCUCGCCUAGAUCGAUCACCAGGGCCGGAUCCUGCCGCCAUUCGUCCAUCUCGCCCAGCGCCCCGUGAGAGCUCGGGCAGCCACCGAUGCCGUGCAGCCUCCCGUUCGCGCGGCGCCGCCGCUGGUAUGGAGGCCUGGGCUCGGGCAGCCACCGCGGUGUCGCGUGCGCCGUCGGGGGCUCUAGGGACCACACAGCGGGGGACUGGCGUGCCGUCCGUUCGUGGGUUCCAGGGACGCCAAGCCGUACAUCUGAGCCACCGUCUCCACUUCCUCCUUCCUUCCGAUCGGUUCGUCUCCUCCACCCUCCCUUGCCCCCUCCCCUCUCGGCUCGUCGAUCCGGGUUGGGCGCUUGCGGCGACGGCGGAGGAGCCACUCUUGCCAGCUGCAGCGACUACUCCAAGUGGAGGUGGAGCGAAGCAACAGGUUUACGACAGGCCUGGCCCAGGACAGCGACUUUAGGGGUGCCAUGCCCUGCAUAUUUCAUCGGGAUUUGGUCCUGAUUUGAGAAUGUAUAUGUUGAAAAUGGAGGAAAUGAGAUCUUAGGUAGUCAGGUGUGUGCUUGCAGUUGCAGUAACACAAAGAAGAUGAUGGCAAAUAGUUUGAGUCUGGAGAUCAUUUGUGUCCCUCUUCUCUGGUGCUUGUAGAAUUGUAGAAACAACGAUUAAUGUGAUGUAUGUGAGGGGUCAUUAAAGUGACUUACCUGGAGAAGAUGUGUUCACUGCUGAAACUGCAUACAAGGGUGCUUCCUUCUUCCAGGAUAUCGACGAAGCCUGGCAACUAUAGAUUUUUCCUCUAUGUGAUUCCGAGGGCUCCAUGGAGGAUCAACUUCGGUUCAGAGCCAGGUUUUGGGCAUACCGCAGCACAAACAGAGGCAUAUCUCAGUCAAUGUUACUCCAGUUGAUGAUGUUAUGAAGCUUCCUUCAGUAACUGAAUGAGAGAGAUGGAGGCACUGGAGAAGAAAGGACAUAGAUCCUUGGCCGAACCAGUGAAGCCCCCCUACAAUACCCCAUCAAGACACAAGCAUUCAGAGAGCGAUUUAGAGGAGAAAAAUGCAAGGAUGCAUAGCCUUCUUCGCAGAAAGCGUCUAAUCACCCAAAGCCGAAUGGUAGAAACUCAAACUCUCGUCUGCAGAACGAAACCAACAAGGGAAUCCAUCCCAAGAGUGACACGCAAGACACCCUGAGAAAAGAGACAGGAACCAUUUUUUUUCUAUUCUUACUAGCUCACAUGCAGAAGAAAUCAGAGACUGCAUCUUGAAAGAAUUGUUACAACAUUUUCGUUUCUGGAUGCACCAAGCAUUUUGGUCUAAUGGGAUGACGAUGAUCUGAUGUAGAUUGUGCAGCUGGAGAGGCACCUUGACCAACAGCAAACGGUGCACGGUGCACUGGAGAAAGCGUUGGGUCCUAACUCUGCUCCAGUUACUCUAUCCAAUGAGAGCCCAGUCCUCAAGCUGACACUUGUUUUUACCAGGACAUGUAUAGUAUAGUAUGUUUAUUCUUUGGUAGCCAACUAACCAACUGACAAGGGAGGUUGCCACACUGGAGCUGGAGAUCAAGCACAUGGAGCAGUACCUCAUAACAUUGUACAUGAAAGCAUUUGAGGAAGCACCCACAGUGAGCUCACAGUCUGUGCCGAUCGAGGAAACGCCCAAGGCAAAGGCGACCAUCGAAAGAGGUAGUGAUGCAAUGCUCCAUUACAGCUGCCUCCCCAUAGCAAUAGGAGGAAUGGCACCAUGGAGGAUUCCUCUCCGUCCACAUGCCCAGUGAAGGGUCGAUGGUCAUGAAUCAAAGUUAACUUCCUCUCUACUUAUCAUUUAACCGCGACAAAGAAUUCGAGUCGGCACUAAUACAACUGUCUGAUGCUUUGCAAAGUAGGCAUUGAGAAUAUGAAAGAGAACUUGCAAUUCCAUUGGUCAGUGUGCAAUGCCAAGGAACACAUUUACAUUUUGUAGAUAACAAGUUGUCAGUAGCAGCGACAUCAACGGAUGGAAGGUACACCUGUUGUAGUGGACUUAGUCAUCUCAUCGACAUGCUCACCUGCGACAGUACACCUGCUGCAGCUCUGGCGAGACACUGGACCUCAUGGCGGCGUUCAUGGUGAUGUUCCUUGUCUGUACCUCAACUGCAUGUAUGUGCGAUGGAGGGAGGGAUGGUGUGCACCGGAUGGGACCUGGCACGGCAUGCGGGCCGAUGAGGAAGAGGACCAGCGGAGGGGGCUUGACAAGGUGUCACUGGCAGCCAUGCCAGUGACCAGAUUCAAGGUAGGGCGCGUGGCGGCAGCAACAAGGUUGGGGAGGAUUGCGCGAUGUACAUGUGCAUCAUGGACGAUGGAUUUGGCAUGGCGGCCGGGUCGACGAGGAAGAGGACCAGUAGAGGGAUGCUUGACAAGGCGACGCUGGCACCAAUGCCGGUGUUCAUAUUCAAGGCAGGGGCAAGGCGGAGGCGUGCGAUGGCGCAAAGGUUGGUAGCUGCUGCAUACGUGUUGCUUUAUGAUCUUGCCUUCUUGGAAGCGUGGGUGUUGCUUCAAUUGGAACCAAUAUUUUUUGCCUUGACUUUUAGAUUGUAAUACUACUUGACUUUUGCAUCAGUGAUAUUUGAAGUUAUUCAAAUGAAUUUGUAGUUAA